GUGCCAGUAGCCGCGGUAAUACGUAGGGGGCGAGCGUUGUCCGAAGUUACUGGGCGUAAAGCGCGCGUAGGCGGUUAUUCAAGUCUGGGGUGAAAGGUUCAGCGCUCAACGUGAACAGUGCCUUGGAUACUGGAUGACUUGAGUCUGGGAGGGGGAAGGGGAAUUCCUGGUGUAGCGGUGAAAUGCGUAGAUAUCAGGAGGAACACCGGUGGCGAAGGCGCCUUCCUGGCCUAAGACUGACGCUGAGGUGCGAAAGCGUGGGGAGCAAACGGGAUUAGAUACCCCGGUAGUCCACGCCGUAAACAAUGAGUGCUAGGUGUCGGGGGUAUCGACCCCCCCGGUGCCGUCGCUAACGCAUUAAGCACUCCGCCUGGGGAGUACGGCCGCAAGGUUGAAACUCAAAUGAAUUGACGG
rnacentral:rRNA from 1 species